rnacentral:piRNA from 1 species
UGACUAAUAUAGGCCUAGGCUUACUGGU